UCAUCUGUCAACAUUUUUUAAUGUUUGUAGACUUUAAACAUGUUUGAUUUUGGAGAUACGUUGGCUCUUAUAUUGGGCCUUACAAUAAGCCUAAUUGGAAUAUUGGCCUGUUUGGGAUCGUAUGCCAGAAAACAUGCUGUUACAGAACGAUUGUGAUGGAUUUUAUCAUCAACUGAUGAGAAUGGUGCAACUUAUUACUUUAUAAAGAUAUUUUAUAAUAAACAUAUUAAUUUUUUG